rnacentral:rRNA from 1 species
UACGUAGGCAGCAAGCGUUGUUCGGAGUUACUGGGCGUAAAGGGGGUGUAGGCGGUUGGAUAAGUGUGGUGUGAAAUCUCCCGGCUCAACUGGGAGGGUGCGCUACAAACUGUCUGACUAGAGUGUGGGAUGGGAAAGUGGAAUUCCUGGUGUAGCGGUGAAAUGCGUAGAUAUCAGGAGGAACACCGGUGGUGUAGACGGCUUUCUGGACCAUAACUGACGCUGAGACACGAAAGCGUGGGUAGCAAACAGG